rnacentral:rRNA from 1 species
GAUGAACGCUGGCGGCGUGCCUAAUACAUGCAAGUCGAGCGAACGGACGAGAAGCUUGCUUCUCUGAUGUUAGCGGCGGACGGGUGAGUAACACGUGGAUAACCUACCUAUAAGACUGGGAUAACUUCGGGAAACCGGAGCUAAUACCGGAUAAUAUUUUGAACCGCAUGGUUCAAAAGUGAAAGACGGUCUUGCUGUCACUUAUAGAUGGAUCCGCGCUGCAUUAGCUAGUUGGUAAGGUAACGGCUUACCAAGGCAACGAUGCAUAGCCGACCUGAGAGGGUGAUCGGCCACACUGGAACUGAGACACGGUCCAGACUCCUACGGGAGGCAGCAGUAGGGAAUCUUCCGCAAUGGGCGAAAGCCUGACGGAGCAACGCCGCGUGAGUGAUGAAGGUCUUCGGAUCGUAAAACUCUGUUAUUAGGGAAGAACAUAUGUGUAAGUAACUGUGCACAUCUUGACGGUACCUAAUCAGAAAGCCACGGCUAACUACGUGCCAGCAGCCGCGGUAAUACGUAGGUGGCAAGCGUUAUCCGGAAUUAUUGGGCGUAAAGCGCGCGUAGGCGGUUUUUUAAGUCUGAUGUGAAAGCCCACGGCUCAACCGUGGAGGGUCAUUGGAAACUGGAAAACUUGAGUGCAGAAGAGGAAAGUGGAAUUCCAUGUGUAGCGGUGAAAUGCGCAGAGAUAUGGAGGAACACCAGUGGCGAAGGCGACUUUCUGGUCUGUAACUGACGCUGAUGUGCGAAAGCGUGGGGAUCAAACAGGAUUAGAUACCCUGGUAGUCCACGCCGUAAACGAUGAGUGCUAAGUGUUAGGGGGUUUCCGCCCCUUAGUGCUGCAGCUAACGCAUUAAGCACUCCGCCUGGGGAGUACGACCGCAAGGUUGAAACUCAAAGGAAUUGACGGGGACCCGCACAAGCGGUGGAGCAUGUGGUUUAAUUCGAAGCAACGCGAAGAACCUUACCAAAUCUUGACAUCCUUUGACAACUCUAGAGAUAGAGCCUUCCCCUUCGGGGGACAAAGUGACAGGUGGUGCAUGGUUGUCGUCAGCUCGUGUCGUGAGAUGUUGGGUUAAGUCCCGCAACGAGCGCAGCCCUUAAGCUUAGUUGCCAUCAUUAAGUUGGGCACUCUAAGUUGACUGCCGGUGACAAACCGGAGGAAGGUGGGGAUGACGUCAAAUCAUCAUGCCCCUUAUGAUUUGGGCUACACACGUGCUACAAUGGACAAUACAAAGGGCAGCGAAACCGCGAGGUCAAGCAAAUCCCAUAAAGUUGUUCUCAGUUCGGAUUGUAGUCUGCAACUCGACUACAUGAAGCUGGAAUCGCUAGUAAUCGUAGAUCAGCAUGCUACGGUGAAUACGUUCCCGGGUCU